GUUCCUGUAGCGCAAUGGAUAGUGCGUUGAACUUCUAAUGCAAAGAUCGUGGGUUUGAAUCCCAUCUGGAAUG